UAUGAACUCACCAACAUUCUAUGUUGACGCUUUUCAAAAUGACUUAUAUUCUCAGGAACACAAUAAGCAGGUACUUGAGCUAUGGAUGUUGGAUAUUUUGCUGCAUUUUAAAAAUUACUUUCCAGUCACUUUUGUGUAAUUGGUGAACAAAUACAAUUUGUAAACAAUGUAAGUUUGUUAUCUAAAUGUAUGCCGUUUGGUUGCUAUGUUUCAUUCAUAUUCAAUUGUUAUGAUACUAUACAAUGACGUCAUCCGUCCCCGCACGUUUCCGCCGUCCUGGUUCAGGGGUGUGACAGAUUGGUAUCAGAGCAUUGUUUAUAGUGAAGUAGUAUAUCUAACCAUACAAGAUGUACAACUAUAAAUACAAUGGGACUAUAACACUCCUAAUAAAAAUUAUACCUUAAAAAUAUAAGUAUUUUAUAAAAUUAUACAUACAUGUGUGCGUAAUAAGGAUAGUGCCAUAAGAAAGAAACUAGUAAAAAGUAUUUAGAGGAGUUGGACGUCGUGACUAAACUUAGACAGUUAUGUAAUCAUAUCAAGGGUAAAUAUAGCUUGAUCAACUAUAUUUAUUCGAGGUAUGACCAACAUGUGUUUAGGAGUUGUCGAGGUGGAUGAUAAAUAUAAAACUUACAGACUUUGAACCAAAAGGGUAUAAGAACAAAACUAAAAGAAAUAAAAUACUAUAGGGAUAUUUUGGCAUUCUAUCUAUUUUCUCAUACUUAUAUACAUUCGUACAGACGUGAUUGCAUAUUUUCACCACCCAUGAGAUCCUUAUCCUCCAACCAGGGGAACGCGGGGUGGAUAGUGGAGGAUCCUGAGGAGGAUCUCGAGGAGAUUCCGGAGGAUGAAUCAGAGGAGGAAGUAGAUGAGGAGAUAGACGAGGAGGAGGAGGAUGAUGAUUCGGACGUAGAGUACGAAGUCAUCAACCCUCCCUACAUGGCUAGGGUACCAGCACACCGAUAGGGCUAUAAUGGCCCUACGCCCCCUUGGGCCUAUGACCUUGAGAGGUGGUGCCGACAUCAGGGGAAACACCCACCUUUCGGGAUGGAGCAAGGAUUUUACGACCUUCGCCAUGGAGGGACCGCGGACCAAGCCCUCCCCGUUAUGGUUCGGAGGAUUUCAGACAUCGGAGACCAGGCCCAGACGAAAUUCCACCGAGUCAUGGAGAUGAGGGUUGCUAUGGAGGUCACGGCCGCACGCACUCGUGAUCUCGAGAGGGACUUUUACCCUAUGGAUCGGCUCGUCGAGGACCUGACUACCGCGCGAGCAGAAGUGAGGGAAUAUAAGGAGAGGCAUGCUGCCCUGGAGGAGAGGGUGCGGGUAGCCGAGCACCGUUUGGCCGAGUUGUAUGGCGCCUCUACAUCAUCCCAGGCACCGCAGGGGACGACUCAACGUGAGUAGGAUCUAUCCUACUCACCAGAUGAUAGACUAGAUGUUUGGGUAUGCUUUAGUGCUACCCUUUUUCUUUUCUUUUAUGUAUGUAGGACCGACCCUACGUCUAAAUGAUUACACUACUCGUAGGGUCGUUAUACUGUCAGAUUUUAUCCUUUAUGUACUGUUGACCUUUUCAUUUUUCUCACAUUAUGUACUAAAAUCUUAUAAUUAAUGAAACAAAUAUGUGUUUUAUUUUUAUAUGUUGUUGUCUGCUAUGUUUUCUAUAUUCAUUUUUAUUUUAUAAAACAAUGUUUCAAUUGUAUGCACAAAAUAACGUUCGAUAAUUACUAUACCUGACAUAUCUAAACGCGAUGUUUCAUUACAAUAGUAUCUGCAUCAUAACCCUUAUCAAAAACUUAUCAGAUUCCACUUGUGGCAGUAUAAUCCCGUGGCAGUAUAAUCCCGCCUCAGAGAAACAUUCGACGCAAGAACAACGAGGCAGCACCACCCCCGCCGCUGCCUCCACCACAAAUGGAUUCGACCGCAUUCCAGGUGGCAGUUUCAUCUGUAGUCACUACGGCUCUGGCACAUAUCAACAACAAUGGUUCCAAUGGAGGUGGAAGUGGGAAUGGAAUGGGCAGUUCUAACCAUGGGGUUAAUCAAGGGCCUCAACAAGUAUGCUCAUAUAAAGACUUCACAAACAGAAAGCCAAGACCAUUCAACGGAAGCAGGGGUGUCAUAGCCCUAACUCGAUGGUUUGAGAAGACAGAAUCAGUCUUCGAGAUUUGCGGAUGUUUAGAAGAAAGCAAGGUGAAAUUCGCAACAUGUACAUUUGCUGAUAGAGCCCUUUCGUGGUGGAAUGUCCACAUCAAGGCUUUAACAAUCGAUGGCUUGGGAGGACCUUAAGACCAUGAUGCUGGAAGAGUAUUUUCCUAGAGGGGAGGUACAGAAACUUGAGCAAGAAUUGUGGAAUCUCACUGUAAAGGACUCCGACAUUGAAUCUUACAUUGUCAGGUUCAGCGAUUUGGAAAUCUUGUGUCCGGGAAUGAUCACCUCUGAAAGUAAGAAGGUUGAACAUUUCCUUUGGGGACUAACUCCCCCAAUUCAAGGGAAUGUGAUCGCUGCAAACCCAACAACAUACGACAGCGCCAAACGCCUCGCGCUAAAGCUAUAUGACCAUGGGGUACAAAAGGGCACGAAGACUUCCGUCAUUGAACCGAAGAAAGGGAAUGCUAACAAGAAUAAUACAGGAAACAAGAGAAAAGGGAAACGCACUCAGGAAUCCUCCAAAAAGCAACAAAUAGUGGCGGUUCACGCCGCUACUACUCCUACUACAUCAGCUCCAAUAAAGCAAUAUGCCAGUAAUUUGCCAAAGUGCGACAAACGCCCCUUCCACCACCACGGAGCCUGCAGAGAGAUGAAAUGCAGAACCUGCAACAAGAAAGGGCACACUACUCGAUACUCUAAGUCACCGGAACAACAGAACAACCAACCCAACAACGUUGGGGCAAGUCAAGCAUGUUAUGGGUGCGGAGAGGCUGGCCACUUCAAAAGAAACCGUCCCAAGGACAACAAUCGGAAUACAGGGGGAACAAGCAGAGUUCUAGCGAUAGGACAUGAGGAGGUUGUAAAGGAUCCAGCAGUAGUCGCUGGUACGUUCCUCCUCAAUAACAUCUAUGCAUGCAUUUUAUUUGAUAGCGGGGCAGAAAGGAGCCUUGUGAGUCAUAGGUUUAAGCACUUUCUCAACCAAAAUCCUCAAUCAUUAAACGAAACAUUUACUGUUGAAAUGGCUAACGGGAAAACAGAAACAACCAACGAUGUACUCAUAGGGUGCAUACUAACUUUAAAUAACCACUCCUUUCUAAUCGACUUAAUGUCGGUUACUAUAAGGAGUUUUGAUGUGAUCAUCGGGAUGGAUUGGUUAUGCCCGCACCAUGCUCAUAUUAUGUGCUACGAGAAGGUCGUUCACCUUCACUUACCCAACAACGAAACUGUAGUUACAUGUGGCAACAAACCCGAUAUAAACCUUCGUCUCAUCUCGUGCAUUAAAGACCAAAAGUGUUUACAUAAAAAGAACCAUGCGUUCUUGGCUCAUGUGGUCGAUAAAAAGAAGGAAGAAAAGAGAAUCAAAGACAUCCCAGAGGUGUGUGAUUUUCCCGACGUGUUUCCCCAAGACCUUCCAAGAAUACCUCCCGAACGACAAGUCGAAUUUAAGAUCGACUUGAUAACCGGAGCCACACAAACUGCCAACUCGCCAUAUAGAUUAGCUCCUACGGAGAUGCAAGAGCUUUCCAAUCAAUUAAGUGAGCUGUUGGACAAACUAUUUAUAAGGCCACACUUCUCACCUUGGGGAGCUCCGGUCUUAUUCGUGAAGAAGAAGAAGGAUGGUUCGUUUCAUAUGUGUAUCGAUUACUGUGAACUCAACAAGCUCACCGUCAAGAAUCAAUACCCUCUUCCCCGAAUUGACGAUCUAUUUGACCAGCUGUAAGGAGCAAGUUACUUUUCGAAGACAGAUUUCAGGUCUAGUUAUCAUCGAUUGCGAGUCCAAGAGGAAGAUAUUCCCAAGAAUGCCUUCCGAACUCGCUUCGGUCAUUUUGAACUUGUGGUAAUGCCCUUUGGUCUAACAAAUGCACCUACAACAUUUAUGGACCUGAUGAACCGAGUCUGCCGACCCUACCUUGACAACUUCAUGAUCAUCUUUAUCGAUGAUAUACUCAUCUAUUCACGAAGUAAAGAAGAACACAACUAACAUCUACGAAAUGUUUUUGAAACGCUAAGGGCGGAGAAGCUAUAUGCGAAAUUCUCCAAAUGCAAGUUCUUGAUCCGCAGAGUGGAUUUUCUAGGCCAUGUGGUCAAUGAGGAGGGAAUACAUGUGGACCCUUCCAAGAUCAAAGCAAUUGAAGGUUAGGCAACCCUAAGAACCCCAACGGAGAUCAGACAAUUCAUAGGCCUCGCCGGUAACUACCAGAGGUUCAUACAGAAUUUCUCUAAAAUCGCCAAGCCGCUCAUCGCUUUAACCCAAAAGGGUGUACUCUUUAUCUGGGAGAAGAAACAAGAAGCUGCGUUCCAAACCUUGAAACAAGCUCUAUGCAGCGCCCCUGUCUUAACACUCCCAGAAGGGACGGAAGAUUUCAUGGUGUAUAGGCUAGCUUCAGAUCUGGGGUUUCUUGGAGAGAACACGGUAGUAUGUGGAGUUGACUUGAAAACAUAAAGAUAAGUGAAAGAAAGAAGGUGAGCAAAAGCUUAUGUGAAAUCUUAUCUGGAGGGUGGCUACCAGAAUAGGUGGAAUUGAUGGAGAACAGUUAAAAGACGUAUUAAAAAUAGAUGAAAUCAAUCAAAUCAAUAAAUUCGCUGAUCAUGGUCUUCAUAGUGAAGGAGGUGUCUGUGGUGACUGUGGUAAUGGGUCACCGGUAAGUGAAGAAAAAAGAAGAAGAGUGUUUCUAGUUAUGGCGAUAGUAGCUAGGGUUACCAGAGAGAAAAAGGUGAGUAUACAAAUUUUGAAAUGAAAAGGAAGCGUGAGGGAAAAGGUAUCCGAGAUGGUCGAUCCGUGUGAGUGUCUUUCUGCGAAGCCAUCUUGGCCAUUGGAAUAAAAAUGGAGGGUCAACAUAUCACCCCCUUGAAUUUUAAGACUUUUGUCUUAAAAUUGGUAGGGACCACCAAGAUAUAUGUUUUAUAAAGUGUUAAUAUAAGUAUAUGUAUGUAUGUAUGUAUGUAUGUAUGUAUGUAUAUAUAUAUAUAUAUAUAUAUAUAUACACACACACACACGUGGUUUAACAACAAACAACGAAUGUGCAUGGGGUUUUUAUUUCUUUCUAAAGAUGUCUACCAUUGAAAAUAAAGAAGUCAGUCAAACACAGGUGUAGGUCAACAAAAUAUUAUAGCUCAAAAAAUAUUAGAAUGAUGUAUAGUAGGAGUGGAGUAUGGAGGUGUCCAGUUCUUGAUUAUAGUGAAUAUAUAGAGCAUAAGCAUCCGAGGAAAAGAGGGGAAGAAGCGAUGAAAAAGGCAUUGAACACAAAUACAUCUAUGACUAAACAUAACUUUAAAGAAGAAAUUGCAGCAAUUAUUUUUCUAUUUUAGCUACUAAAACUAGUACUAACUUCUUAGUAUUUGUAAUAAUAAUUGGAGUAUUCAGGGGUGUGGGUUAGGGAUAAGACUCGUUACGGUACCGGACCAUCGUAAUCGAUCCGAAACUAAAAAAGCUAAAACAAAAAAUGCAAAUUCAAGGAACCGAUAACAAAACCGAUUUUCAUACUUGGUUCUUAUGCGGUUCUGGACUGAACCGACUCGAAACCGAAAAAUAAAAAUUCAAGGAAUCAAGAAUCGAACCAAAUGUGCUUAUGUGUACAAAACAAUUUUCUCUAUGUAACCUUGCAACAUCAAAUUAGUGAAAUUCAAACUACAAUGUUAUUUGAAUACAAAUGAGCGUACAUUGAGAAUAAAGUUGAAAUAGCCUCUUACAAGCCCAAAACUCGAUCCAAUAGCUAAGCCUAAUCAAUUUCGGGACUUGACCCAAGAAUUCUCGGCCCAAACACUGUAGGCCGAAAACCCAUUUCCUUUGGGCCUUAUUGGACCAAAAACUCUCUUAUUCGGCCCAAUUAAGUCCAAAAGCUCAUACACACUCAAAACUGAAAACCCAAUUUAGAACAUAGGGUGUUUUAUAAAGUGUUAAUAUAAGUAUAUGUUUGUAUGUAUGUAUAUAUAUAUAUAUAUAUAUAUAUAUACACACACACACACACGCGUGGUUUAACAACAAAUAAGGAAUGUGCAUGGGGUUUUUAUUUCUUUCUAAAGAUGUCUACCAUUGAAAAUAAAGAAGUCAGUCAAACACAGGUGUAGGUCAACAAAAUAUUAUAGCUCAAAAAAAUAUUAGAAUGAUGUAUAGUAGGAGUUGAGUAUGGUGGUGUUUAAAAAAACCCUAAUAGAAAAAGCUAGAGAGAAAGAGAGAGAAAAAAAAACAACUUACAAGUCCGACAAGAAGAUCAGGAUAUUAGGAGAUGUCGUUGAUUCUCUUCAAACUUGUUUUGGAAUUUGGAUAUGGUGUCCAGUUCUUGAUUAUAGUGAAUAUAUAGAGCAUGAGCAUCCGAGGAAAAAAGGGGAAGAAGCGAUGAAAAAGGCAUUGAACACAAAUACAUCUACGACUAAACAUAACUUUAAAGAAGAAAUUGCAACAAUUAUUUUUGUAUUUUAGCUACUAAAACUAGUACUAAAUUAUUAGUAUUUGUAGUAAUAAUUAGAGUAUUAACUUCUUAGUAUUUGUAGUAAUAAUUGAAGUGAUGAAAAAGGCAUUGAACACAAAUACAUCUACGACUAAACAUAACUUUAAAGAAGAAAUUGCAGCAAUUAUUUUUCUAUUUUAGCUACUAAAACUAGUACUAACUUCUUAGUAUUUGUAAUAAUAAUUGGAGUAUUCAGGGGUGGUGUGGGUUAGGGAUAAGACUCGUUACGGUACCGGACCACCGUAAUCGAUCCGAAACUAAAAAAGCUAAAACAAAAAAUGCAAAUUCAAGGAACCGAUAACAAAACCGAUUUUCAUAUUUGGUUCUUAUGCGGUUCUGGACUGAACCAACUCGAAACCGAAAAAUAAAAAUUCAAGGAAUCAAGAAUCGAACCAAAUGUGCUUAUGUGUACAAAACAAUUUCCUCUAUGUAACCUUGCAACAUCAAAUUAGUGAAAUUCAAACUACAAUGUUAUUUGAAUACAAAUGAGCGUACAUUGAGAAUAAAGUUGAAAUAGCCUCUUACAAGCCCAAAACUCGAUCCAAUAGCUAAGCCUAAUCAAUUUCGGGACUUGACCCAAGAAUUCUCGACCCAAACACUGUAGGCCGAAAACCCAUUUCCUUUGGGCCUUAUUGGACCGAAAACUCUCUUAUUCGGCCCAAUUAAGUCCAAAAGCUCAUACAUACUCAAAACUGAAAACCCAAUUAAGAACAUAGGGUGUUUUCGACCACCCUAAAACCAAAAACCCCCUUGAGAUGCCUCUAAGGCCGAAAGCCUCCUAGGAUUUCUGUUGGGAGUCAAGACAAACAAAAAAAAAAGAAAAAGAAAAAAGAAAAAAAGAGAGAAAGAGAGAGAGAGAGAGAGAGAGAGAGAGAAAAGAUAUGGAUUAAUGUUAACACCUAAUGUCUUUACAUCCUAUUACCCUUCAUGUUCCCACACAGUACAAGCCUCUAUCUUCCAUGCAUCCAUGCAUGGCUUUCAAUUGUCAAACAUACAUCAAGGAAGCCAUCACUCCCCCCAUUUAAGGGAGAGAUCGACCGAUCCCACACACACACACAUCAAACAAAUUUUCACUCAUUUGCUCUCAAAAAAUUCCUCACAUCCCUUCUCUCACAAUUUCGAGCAUCAUCACCACAAAAUCGGUCCUAGUCGUUUUGGUAACUUCCUUAUGAAACUCAAAGUGUUUUUUAUACAUGUUUGUUUUAGGAUUAUUCCAUUUACACACUCAUUUCGUGUGUAUGAAACUUAGAACACUUGAAAUUUUCGAGAAUCUCUCCAAGCUCAAGGCUACGCUCAACAAAUUCUUUCUUCUUCUUGCUAUCAUAUGAAAUCAAGGGGUGCUUCAUACCCCCAGCUUUUCAUGUUAUUCAUACUUUUCCGGGGGGGGGGGGGGGGGGGAUNNNNNNNNUCAAGUCUCGUUUAUCCUUUGGAUAUUUGCAUGCACUAUCAUUUUAUGUAACAGUUUGUGCUUAAGAUGUUGAAUAACUCAAACUAACACACCAUAAACUCGUGAUAUACAAGCUUCAAGUAUGAUAUUUAUCCUUUGGAUAAUUGCAUGCAUUGUUUAUGUGUUGAAAAUGGAACAAAUAUUUUACCUAUUCCGACACCUGAAGAACAUCACAUAGGCUUAACAGUCACAUCAAGCAUGGUUAUAAUAACUCACUUGGGGGUUAACAAUACUAUCUUGAUUUACGAGAAGUUUACAAUAGAAAAUAUAGGAUUUUCUAGGAACAUACAAUUACAAACUAAAGAAAACAAAGGACAUGCAUGCAUAUAUUCAUAGUUUUGAAAUGAGACUUACAAACCAUUUUCAUAGAAAAUAUCGGAUUUUCUGGAAUCAUACAAAUCAUUUCAAACAAAGAUGUUACAAAUCUUUUCAUACAAAUAUGCUUAUGAACUCACCAACAUUCUAUGUUGAUGCUUUUCAAAAUGACUUGUAUUCUCAGGAACAAAGUAAGCUGGUACUUGAGCUAUGGAUGUUAGAUAUUCUGUUGCAUCUUGAAAUUACAUUUCAGUCACUUUUGUGUAAAUUGUGAACAAAUACAAGUUGUAAACAAUGUAAGUUUGUUAUCUCAAUGUAUGUCGUUUGUUUGUUAUAUUUCAUUCAUAUUCAGUUGUUAUGAUACUAUACAAUGACGUAAUCCGCCCCCAGACGUUUCCGCCGUCCUGGUUUGGGGGUGUGACAGGUUUUGAUUCCAGUUUGGUUCUUUGGUCAUGUCGUACAUCCUUAAUGCAGGUAUGGAUUAGAUUGGUGGGUGGGUUGGGAUUAAAUAAGGAUAAGGGUAGGUGUGUAAAUGGGGGUGUGUGUGUGUAUACAGUUGGUGAUGAGUGUAAGUGUAUGCGGUUGGGACAUGGUUUGAGUUGUUGGUGAUGGGUGUUUAGUGUAGGGUAGAUGUGGGAUUGUGUGUAGAGGGAGGGUGGGUGUGCCAAGUGUAUAAAAUUUACAACCCUUACAAGCCUCAUAAAGAGGUGGUCUUUUACAACAUAAAAGCCUUGAAAAUGCAACAUGCAACACUUUUUUUAUUUUUGUAUUAAAAUAACAUUUAAUUUAUUAUUUAAUUAAUAUAUUAACUUUACAUACCUCCAUAUCAUUUUUGGGUUUAAUUUAUUAUCAAACUAGGUGUGAGACCCAUGUAUUACAUGAGUUUAUUUAAAAAAAUUAAAUAUAUAAUUUUAACAAUUUGAAAAGUUUGAAUUUUUAAGAAAAAUGAGAAAUUUUUUGAAUUAUUAAAAUUAAUGAGGCUUUAAUGUAUUGGAUACAUUACAUAUAUAAACCCUUUCUAAUAAAUACCUUACAUAUUAAAUGUGGAAUUUUAAUUUAAUAAAAUGAAAAUACAAUAAAAUGACAAGUGGAAAAUAGAAAUUUUAAAAAUGUUAGAAAACUAUGUGUGAGACCCGUAUAUUAUACGAGUUAAUUUCAAAAAAUUUAAACAUUAAAAUGUAAGCAGUAAAUAUUUUUUAUGUAAAAAUUUAAAAUAAGAAAGAAAGAAAUAUAUUCAUUGCAAUUUAAUUUCAUAUAUAUUAUAUUUAAUACUUUACAUAUAUAAAUAUGUGACUUUAAUUUUAAAAAUUAAAACGAACCAAAAAUUGACAAGUGGAUAAUAUUUAUUUCAAAAAUACUAUAAAAUGACAAGUGUCAAAACUAAUGAGAGAUUGACAAGUGGUAUAAAAACCUUCAUUUAUUAGAGGAGAUUAAUAUAUUAACUUUACAUACCUCCAUAGCAUUUUUGGUCCAUGUGCUUUCCCCAUAUCUGAAUUUUAGUCCCUAAGUAACAAAAAUUUCAAAAAUGGUCCAUGUGUUUUCAAAAAAUUUGAUGUUUGGUCCUUUUUGAUAACUCCGUUAGCUUUUAGUCGUUAACUAUUAUUUGAUUAUAUAUCCGGAGGGCAUUUCCGUCAUUUCACGAACACAGGGACCAUUUAUGAUGUUUUGUCUUAUUUAAAAAAAUAAGCAAAAAGAAAUUUAUUGUUUAUCUCUCUCUCUCUCUCUCUCUCUCUCUCUCUCCCCCCUGUUGAUUACACAUAAUCGUUUGUCUUGUUCUUGACAAUCUAAUCAAGUUCUUCAACACAUACACACAAAGUUUUGAAAGUACAGGGAGGGACAAGGACAAUCUGUGAAAUAUUUGAUAAAUAUUUGAUACUUAGGGACUGGGAAAAAUACAGGGACCAAAAAUGAUGUUUUUUCAUUAAGUAAUUUAGUUAUUAAAUGAAUAUAUUAUAUAAAGAGAAUUAGUUAUGACAAAGUACACAAAAUAUCAUAUAUUUUGAUUAAAUUAUAAUUUAAUACAUAUAACUUAAAAUGUAUUCAUUAUAAAUAUAUAUUAUAUUAGUUAUUUCGGUUUACACGGACUAUCACAUAUUUUAGUAAUUGUAUAUUGAUUAAAUUAUAAAUUAUUACAUAAAAUUUAAUAUUUAUCUGUUAUAAAUGAUAAUAUGUAUAUAUAAUCGAUGAUUAUCUGNNNNNNNNNNNNNNNNUUUUCUUUAUCUAUAGAGAGUUCAUACUUAUAUAAUUAAAAUAUUUAAAACAAAUUUUGAAAUAUUAUUUUUAGAAAACAACUAGUUUUGUUUUUAGAUAACGUAUCUGUUUGUAACAAAUUUUAAUACUAGUUCUUAUGAGCCAUCUAGCAUCAUUAAUAUGAUUAUUGUUUAAAAUCGUACCUAGAUUAGUAGGUUUAUAAGAAUCUUUAAGAUUUUGCUCAGAGUUAUUUAUAGAUUCGUGGAUUUGCUGUAUUCUUAAAAGAAUAUUUCUAUUAGGAAUACAAUUCAUCAAGAUUUUCUUAGACAUAAUUAAAUAAUUUAAGCAUGAGUUUAAUUAACUUGAUUAUUAAAAACGAGCACUAUUUUAACAAAAAUUUCAAAUCUUGUAGAAUUAAUAGUUAGAAUAAUUCGAAAUGAAACUAUCAUGGAGAAAAAAAUUUAAUAAAAAGAAUACAACGAUAAAAUAUUUAGAUAGUACCUUCUUGAGUUAAGCUUGAAUUACAAUCAAUACAUACAUCUGGAGAAUGAAUUAUUUGAAAAUCUAGAGACUUUGAACAUCUACUAGUAGAAAGAAAGACUCUUGGAGAUUUUUUAGACAUGAGAUGAACAUUUUUUAAAGAAUGAAUAUUUUCUUUCUUGCCUCUUCUCAAAUAUGAUGUCUAUUUAUAUUCAUCUUAAAGUCUUCAAAGCCUUGAAAUUCUUGUAGUGAAAUUUUCCAUAUGAUCAAAUGGCCAAUCAAUUACUUGUAAGUGGUUGUCACUCAUCUUUUGAAGAAUUUGUCGUUUGUAAUCAAUGAAUAUCUUCUUUUGAUAAAGCAUCCCAUUAUAGAGCAUCUUCUAAUGUUUCUUGUCUUCAUAUUAUCAUUGAUGAUAAGAAUAAAUAAUUUUGAUAAUAAAUUUGAUAAUAUUUGUUUAUACACUAUAAAUAUAUAUAUUGUGUAUACUCACACAGUUUAUACACACUCAUAUUUGAAAUAAUAAUUUUGAUAAUAGAAGAAACGAAAUACCUUACAUUGAAGGUAUUACACCAAAUUUAAUGAUAACAAUUUCUUAUUUUUCAUAAGGAUUAUCAAAAGGGUCUUGAAAGUCUCUGGAAAUAAAUCAUUUUUUAUUGAUUUUGGAGAAUCGUCUGAAACUGAUGGAGUUUGGCAAAUUUCUUGAAGUAGCUUUUGAAGUUCUUCAGGAGAAGAGGUAGCAACAUCUUUAAUUCUUGCAAUUAGAUCCACAUCACUUUGAGGAAGACUGUUGAUAAAAGUGGCUUCAACCUCUGGUUUUUGAAUAUAUAUUUCUUGAUAAUGUUUAAUUACUGCUUGUUCACUGGCUUGAGAAAUCUUCAUUUUAUCCCACCAUUUUGAGCGAAAUUGGUGAUUAAACCAAGGAGGAGAGGAAUCCUUUGAUUCUUGAUAAUAAAAACUCCAAGACAUUAUCCAUGGAAGUUUAAAUAUUAUGGUGAAUUGUAACAUACAUUCAAAUUCUGGAAUUUGUUGAAUAAAUAAUUCCUUAAAUUUGAGAUAUCCAGCGUAAAUUUCUUUUGGUAUACAAUUUGGAAGAAUUCUCAUACAUUUGUACCAAUUGAUAAACCAUCUUGGAUAUUCACAAUUGAAGUUCAAAUCAAAGAAGAUAAACCAUGAGUGUGAAUAAUUCUGAACAAAGAAUGUCUUAGUCUAGACAUCUUGAUAUUCAUAGUAAUAAAAUCUGAGAUAAGCAGGAUAACUUAUAAGAGGUUUUUCAGAGUGAAGGUUUGGAACCCAACUUUCUGGAGAGAUGAUUUUAAUAAUAUGAGCUUUGCUAAAAUCAAUGUUUCCCUCUUUUGAAUUAGAACGAUGAACAAAAUUAACUAAACCAGAUUCUUGCAGAAUAGCUUCACAAUAUUCUCGAGUUUUGUAUGAAUCAACAUAAAAGGUUUUCCCUUAACCAAAGAGAUGAUUUGUGAGAAUAUGAAAACCUUGAUGUAACUUAUGGAUUUGAAAAUCUUCAAGAAUUUGAACUCUUAAGAAAUUUAGAUUAAGAACAUAAGGAAUUUUUUUAGAAGGGCUAGGAGUAACAGAUUUUUAAGUUUGAGGAGUGAUAAGUUUUGCCAAAGGGCUUAUCGUGUCGGUUGAAGUAACUUUUGGAGUAACAAGUUUUGACUGAAGGAUAUUAGAAUAAAGUUGUGAAUUCUUAGAAGUAGGAGUUAAAGGAGAAAAACGAUUUUGAUUUUGAAAUGGAACAAACUUUAGAGAGACUGGCUUGUUGUCAUUAUGUUUGGAAGAGGACGAUGAACUCAUUUUCCCUCCAAAAUUUCUCGAGAAAGAAAGUCAGGAAGCGAAUUAUUUUCUCCUUUUAUUAAUUCUAUCUUCAUAUCAAAGUUACCUAAGAGGGCUUGCCAAGGAGCAAAAAUUUGCUUGGAAAUAAUAUUUUUCACAUCUUUUUCUAAAAUAGUUUUUGUAGAUUGACAAUCUAUUUUUAAUAAAUUAAAUUUCAUAAAUAAAUCAUCUUCGAAUUUUUUAAUACAUAAAACAAUUCUUAAAAUUUCUUUUUUGACAGUUGAAUAAUUUUUUGGUGUAUCAUUCCAUGGACCAGAGUAAUACCGAACCAAUUGUUCCUUAGUUGAGUUAAUAAAUUUUUGUUUUAGAAUUCCUCCGAAUCCAAUAUCACUAGCAUCGGUUUCAACUAUGAUAUUGGCAUUGGGAUGAGGUAAAUUUUUAUCUUUUAUAGAAUCAAGAGAGUUUAAAAGAUCUUUAUCAUCUUGUGAAAGAUAAAAAUAUCCAAGAAUUAUUAAUAAAACAGAUGCUUAAUAAAACUAAUAACAUAACUCUUGCUCAUAAUGAAAAUUUUAAUUUAAAAAAUAUAUAUGAAAGAUUUACUGAAGCAAAGCCAAUUUCUAUGCAAGAACUUCAAGAAGAAUUAAAAAUAGUAAAACAAAAAAUAAAAGAAUUAAAAAAUAAAAUUUUAAUUUUAGAAAAAGAAAAACCUUCUACUUUUAAAAACAAAAAUAUAUAAAUUAAUUGAAAAUGUAACUAUUGGUAAAAUUAUAAAUAAUCAAGUUUCACAAAAAUGAAACACUCAAAUUACUUUAGUCAAGGAUAAUUUUAAAAUCAACCUAACUACUUUAAUUGAUAGUGGUGUUGAUAUGAAUUGUAUUCAAGAAGGAUUUUCCCUACACAAUUCUAUGAAAAAACUGCAUCUAGACUUACUGGUGCCGGAGGUACAAAAUUAAUUGGAAAUUAUAAAGUUUCCGAUGUUCAUAUAUGUAAUGACCAAGAUUACUGCUAUAAAACUCACCUAAUUUUAGUAAAAGAUCUCUCUUCUCCUUUAAUUCUAGGAACGCCUUUCAUUAUAAAACUAUGUCCUUUUAUGGUUCAUGAUGAUGGUAUAAGAAACAAUGUUUUUGGAAAAUAAAUUAUAUUUAAAUUUUAUGAACCUCCUUUAUAUUCAACAAUUAAUGUCCUUAAUUAUAAAACGUAACAAGCCAAAUAUCUUAUUAAUGAAAUAAAAUAUGUUCGAAUAAGUAAUCAACUAAAUGAUAAUAAUAUUAAAAAAAAAAAUAACAGGUUUAAAAUUAAAAUUUGAAAAAAAAAUGUUUGUUCUAAUAUUCCUAAUGCAUUUUGGAAUACAAGACAACAUAUUGUAAAACUACCAUAUAUAAAAUUUUUUAAUGAAAACGAUAUUCCUUCAAAAUCUAGAGUCAUUCACAUGAAUAAUGAAUUAGAAAGUCACUGUAAAAAUGAAAUUCAAGAUUUAAUAAAUAAAAAACUCAUAAGACCUUCUAAAUCACCGUGGUCUUGUUCAACAUUUUAUGUUAUGAAUGCCGCAGAAUUAGAAAGAGGGUCACCAAGAUUAGUUAUCAAUUAUAAACAUUUAAACAAAGUUUUAGAAUGGAUUCGUUAUCAUAUUCUUAAUAAACGAAAUUUGCUAAAAAAGCUUUAUGAUUUAAAAAUAUUUUCAAAGUUUGAUAUAAAAUCAGGAUUUUGGCAAAUACAACUUCAUGAGGAAAAUAAAUACAAAACUGGUUUUAAUGUUCCCUUCGGGCAUUUUGAAUGGAAUGUAAUGCCUUUUGGAUUAAAAAAUGCUCCUUCUGAAUUCCAAAAUAUUAGGAAUGAUAUCAUAACUCCUAUAAGUAGUUUUGUCUUUGCUUAUAUUGACGAUGUCCUAAUUUUUUCAAAAUCAAUUGAUCAACAUUUUAAACAUUUAAAUCAAUUUCAUGAUUUAAUUUAUCAAAAUGGUUUAGCUGUCUCUGCACCAAAAAUGCAUUUAUUUAAAAAUGAAAUUUGUUUUUUAGGACAUGAUAUUGUCAAAAAUACUAUUAGACCUAUUACAAGAAGCUUGCAAUUUUCUACUAAAUUUCCUGAUGAAAUUAAAGAUAAAAAGCAACUUCAAAGGUUUUUAGGAUGCUUAAAAUAUAUUCAUGAUUUUUUCAAAGAUUUAGGGAUUAUAUGUAAACCGCUUUAUAAUAGAUUAAAAGACAAUCCUGAACUAUGGACUCAAAAACAUACAGAUAUAAUUAAAUAUAUAAAACAAAAGGUUCGUACUUUGCCAUGUUUAAAUUUACCUCAUCCCAAUGCCAACAUCAUAGUUGAAACCGAUGCUAGUGAUACUGGAUUCGGAGGAAUUCUAAAACAAAAUUUUGUUAACUCAAUUAAGGAACAAUUGGUUCGAUAUUACUCUGGUGCAUGGAUGGAAUGAUACACAAAAAAAAUUAUUCAACUAUCAAAAAAGAAAUUUUAAGAAUUGUUUUAUGUAUUAAAAAAAUUUGAAGAUGAUUUAUUUAUGAAAAGUUUUUUUUUAUUAAGAAUAGAUUGUCAAUCUGCAAAAACUAUUUUAGAAAAAGAUGUGAAAAAUAUUAUUUCCAAGAAAAAUUUUGCUCGUUGGCAAGCCCUCUUAGGUAACUAUGAUUUCAAAAUAGAAUUAACAAAAGGAGAAAAUAAUUCGCUUCCUGACUUUCUUUCUCGAGAAUUUUUGCAGGGAAAAUGAGUUUGUCGUCCUCUUCCAAACAUGAUGACAAGAAGCCAGUCUCUCAAAAGUUUACUCCAUUUCAAAAUCAAAUCGUUUUUCUCCUUUAAAUCCUACUUCUAAGAAUUCACAACUUUAUUCUAAUAUCCUUCAGUCAAAACUUGUUACUCCAAAAGUUACUUCAAUUGACACGAUAAGCCCUUUUGCAAAACCUAUCACUCCUCAAACUCAAAAAUCUGUUACUCCUAGCUCUUCUACAAAAACUCCUUAUGUUCUUAAUCCAAAUUUCUUAAGAGUUCAAAUUCUUGAAGAUUUUAAAAUCCAUAAGUUACAUCAAGGUUUUCAUAUUCUCACAAAUCAUCUCUUUCGUCAAGGGAAAACCUUUUAUGUUGAUUCAUACAAAACUUGAGAAUAUUAUCAAGCUAUUCUGCAAGAAUCUGGUUCAGUCAAUUUUGUUCAUCGUUCUAAUUCAAAAGAAGGAAACAUUGAUUUUAAAUAAGCACAUAUUAUUAAAAUCAUCUCUCCAGAAAGUUGGGUUCCAAACCUUCACUCUAAAAAACCUCUUAUAAGUUAUCCUGCUUAUCCCAGAUUUUCUUACUAUGAUUAUCAAGAUGCCUGGACUAAGGCAUUCUUUGUUCGGAAUUAUUCACACUCAUGGUUUAUCUUUUUUGAUUUGAACUUCAAUUUUGAAUAUCCAAGAUGGUUUAUCAAUUGGUACAAAUAUAUGAGAAUUCUUCCAAAUUGUAUACCAAAAGAAAUUUACGCUGGAUAUCUCAAAUUUAAGGAAUUGUUUAUUCAACAAAUUCCAGAAUUUGAAUGUAUGUUACAAUUCACCAUAAUAUUUAAACUUCCAUGGAUAAUGUCUUGGAGUUUUUAUUAUCAAGAAUCAAAGGAUUCCUCUCCUCCUUGGUUUAAUCACCAAUUUCGCUCAAAAUGGUGGGAUAAAAUGAAGAUUUCUCAAGCCAGUGAACAAGCAGUAAUUAAACAUUAUCAAGAAAUAUAUAUUCAAAAACCAGAGGUUGAAGCCACUUUUAUCAACAAUCUUCCUAAAAGUGAUGUGGAUCUAAUUGCAAGAAUUAAAGAUGCUGCUACCUCUUCCCCUGAAGAACUUCAAAAAUUACUUCAAGAAAUUCGCCAAACUCCAUCAGUUUCUGACGAUUCUCCAAAAUCUAUAAAGAAUGAUUUAUUUGAAGACGCUCAAGACCCUUUUGAUGAUCCUUAUGAAGAAUAAGAAAUCAUUAUCCAUAAAUUUGAUGUAAUACUUUAAAUGUAGGAUAUUUCGUUUCUUCUNAUUAUUAUUUCAAAUACGAGUGUGUAUAAACUGUGUGAGUAUACACAAUAUAUGUAUUUAUAGUGUAUAAACAAAUAUUAUCAAAUUUGUUAUCAAAAUUAUUUAUUCUUAUCAUCAAUGAUAAUAUGAACACAAGAAACAUUAGAAGAUGCUCUAUAAUGGGAUGCUUUAUCAAAAGAAGAUAUUCAUUGAUUACAAACGACAAUUUCUUCAAAAUAUGAGUGACAACCACUUACAAGUAAUUGAUUGGCCAUUUGAUCAUAUGGCAAAUUUCACUACAAGAAUUUCAAGGCUUUGAAGACUUUAAGAUGAAUAUAAAUAGACAUCAUAUUUGAGAAGAGGCAAGAAAGAAUAUUCAUUCUUUAAAAAAUGUUCAUCCCAUGUCUAAAAAAUCUCCAAGAGUCUUUCUUUCUACUAGUAGAUGUUCAAAGUCUCUAGAUUUUCAAAUAAUUCAUUCUCCAGAUGUAUGUAUUGAUUGUAAUUCAAGCUUAACUCAAGAAGGUACUAUCUAAAUAUUUUAUCGUUGUAUUGUUUUUAUUAAAUUUAUUUCUCCAUAAUAGUUUCAUUUCGAAUUAUUCUAACUAUUAAUUCUACAAGAUUUGAAAUUUUUGUUAAAAUAGUGCUCGUUUUUAAUAAUCAAGUUAAUUAAACUCAUGCUUAAAUUAUUUAAUUAUGUCUAAGAAAAUCUUGAUGAAUUGUAUUCCUAAUAGAAAUAUUCUUUUAAGAAUACAGCAAAUCCACGAAUCUAUAAAUAACUCUGAGCAAAAUCUUAAAGAUUCUUAUAAACCUACUAAUUUAGGUACGAUUUUAAACAAUAAUCAUAUUCAUGAUGCUAGAUGGGUCAUAAGAACUAGUAUUAAAAUUCAUUACAAACAGAUACAUUAUCUAAAAACAAAACUAGUUGUUUUCUAAAAAUAAUAUUUUAAAAAAUUGUUUUAAAUAUUUUAAUUAUAUAAGUAUGAACUCUCUAUAGAUAAAGAAAACUCUAUUAAAUACAAACAUUAAAAAAUGGUAUGUUUUCUCUAUAGAUAAAGAAAACUCUAUUAAAUACAAACAUUAAAAAAUUCUCAUGCAUUUGAAACCCUUUUUUUAACUUCCUCAAACCACAUUCAUUUGAAAACCCCUUUUUUUAACAAAUGCAGCUUAAAAUUUUUCUUAAUUAUGAUUUAACACUCAAAAGUUUUAUAACUUAUAUUAUGUUUAAUUAGCAUUUAGUGAAUAGUUUACUAUAAAAAGGUCAAUAUUUUGGGAAGACAUGCAUACAGAUCAUAUACAAAUUUCAAAAAGAAAACAAACUUAAAGAUUUUUAUGUUGGGUUGAGGUCUUAUGAAAUAUGCUAUUAUAUUAGAGCUGUUAACUUAAUUUGGAAGUUUGUUAUACUAAUUUGUUUUUAUAUUUUCUUCGUUUUUGGAUUAUUGUAAUACAGUCGCUGUAUAUUGUGGUUUAAUCAUUAAUAUAUUGAUCAUGUUAUAUAGUGUGAUGUCGAAAUAUUUAAUUAAAUAUUUUAAAUAUGUUUUUUUUUUGUUUUGUAAUUGUAUCGUUUCAAAAAGAUAAUUAAUUAAAACUCAUACAUAUGUUAUACUUUCCAUCUCUCUCUCUCUCUCUCUCUAUAUAUAUAUAUAUAUAUAUGUGUGUGUGUGUGUGUGUAUAUAUAUAUAUAUAUAUAUAUAUANNNNNNNNNNNNNNNNNNNNNNNNNNNNNNNNNNNNNNNNNNNNNNNNNNNNNNNNNNNNNNNNNNNNNNNNNNUAUAUAUAUAUAUAUAUAUAUAUAUAUUAUAAUAGAGGUCAAAACACUUCAACCAAAAUUCAUUUAAAAUCUAUAUUUCAAAUGCUUUAUAAUAAUGAUUGUAAAAAUUUCAACAUGUUUUACUUAAUUGAUUGAUUAAUAAAAAUAUUAGUGUUUUGAAACUCCUAACUCUUAAACUUAUAUUAUAUAAUUUGUUAGUUAACUAAAAUAUUUUUCCUACAUAAAGAUAACAUUUUUAUGUUUGGUUAUCCAUAUUUGUUGAUGUAAUUAGAAAACAAGGUGUACAUAGAAUGACUACUUCAAUUUCACAUAGGAAUCGAUACCACUAGAGAGGUAUGUUGUCUUUAACCAGUGGUAGGAGAUCGAUAUACCAUUUUUAAUUAUUUAUAUUAAUGCUUAGUAAUAUCUAUUUUAUAUAUUCCUAUUCACCUUAAUUUUUUAGGUACAAAUUAAGGAAGAGGAUUAUCAGCGCACCAAUGUAAAAUCAAACAUACGCCUUGCAAAAUAUGUAAUUAAAAUUAAAUAUCAUAUUUACUAAUCGAUUUAUUUUAAAACUCUUGAUGACAUUUAUGUAUAAUAUAACGUCUGUAGAUCAGGGCUAGUCAAUUUAGAGACGAUAGGCGUCAAAAAUAAAUUUUUGAUGAAAGAUUAUUUAGAAUGAAUAAUCUUAACUAAGUUAUAGUAUAUGUUACAAGGUUUUCGUGCAUAUAAAGAACGCCGAAAUCCAAGUUAUAACGAAGAAGUUAUGACCUGUCGAAGUUUCGCGACAGAACCGGCACGACACAACGCGACGUAAAAAGUGAAUUUACGUUAGAGCAAUAUUUAGCCUUAGCAAUCUAAAUGAAAGUCGUAGAAUACGUUAAACCAUGAGCGUGCAUAAAAAGAACGCCCAAAUCUGACUUCGUAUGAGGAAGUUAUGAUUUUUCGAAGUUUUGACUUAGCGGUAUGCAGCCCGAAUACUCGAUUUGAGACCGAGCAGUUUUUAGCCAAAACAAUCUAAAUGAGAAUUGAAGAUCUCAUUAAUUGUAGUAAAACGAUAAAAAGAUAGGCGAAAACGGACGUCGGAUGAAGAAGUUAUGAUUUUAUAACGGAGUUUUCCUGUCCCGGCCUACUAAAAAUAAAUAAUAAAAAUAAAGUCAAAAUUAGCCGACGGAGUCUAAACGAAAGUUGUAGAUCGUAGUCUCACCUACGCGUGGAUAUAAAGAACGUCGAAAACGGAGUUCGUAUGAGGAAGAUAUGAAUUUUUGAAGUUUAUUAAAUAUUUUCGAAAUUAAAUUUAAAUAUAAAUUUUCGAUAUUAUCCAAGGGGGGAGUCACCGGGCUUAUCCAGGUUACGCCCCGCGUAACUUAAGAGUACGCCCCGCGUAAAUCGCAGAUCCAGACCCUAUAAAAGGGAGUCGAGUGCAGCCGAUUCAAUUGCUCAUUUCUCUUCUUUCUCUCGCGUUUUUGCAUCGUUUUUCGUGCAAGAAUUAUCCCGAAGCCCCGGUAUCAUUCCCGAGCCCCGAAGCAAGUCCCGAGGCCCCGAAGAUCCCGAGAAGUGAAAUUCCCGAGCCGAAGCUCUGCCCGCGAGGAGUCCGGUUUUUGUGAAGAUCUUCCAGAUCUGCCGAAGAAUACUACUUCUACAAGUCGUAGUGCUGUCCGAUCAUCUUCUGAUCAAGUGAGUGUGUAGUUACUUUCUUCUAACNNNNNNNNNNNNNNNNNNNNNNNNNNNNNNNNNNNNNNNNNNNNNNNNNNNNNNNNNNNNNNNNNNNNNNNNNNNNNNNNNNNNNNNNNNNNNNNNNNNNNNNNNNNNNNNNNNNNNNNNNNNNNNNNNNNNNNNNNNNNNNNNNNNNNNNNNNNNNNNNNNNNNNNNNNNNNNNNNNNNNNNNNNNNNNNNNNNNNNNNNNNNNNNNNNNNNNNNNNNNNNNNNNNNNNNNNNNNNNNNNNNNNNNNNNNNNNNNNNNNNNNNNNNNNNNNNNNGUGUUAUGUGUAUAAUUUUUGUUGUUAUGUGUGUGAAUGUAUAUUCACUUUCUUCUAUCUCAUAGAUCUGAUUUAUUCUCUAUGAAAUACGUGUUAUGUGAGUGUGCCUCAUCUGUUAUGUGGAAUAGGUAUUGAAUGAGAAUGUUAUACAGGUUUUAAACUAUGUAUCAAAAUAUAUAUUUUUAUCUACUAAUAUGUUGGGUGGAACAUGGGUAGAUAGUUGAUGUGUGAGAAACAGAUGAGAGGCCCCGAUGUUGUUGUUGUUGAUCUAGUUAUUCAGCGAGUAUGAAUUAGACCAAGAGGUUAAUUUUAGAUCCGGGAGUAUGGAUCAGGUAAAGAGAUAAAACUUGUUAUUAGUCCGGGAGUAUGAAUUAAGACUAAGUUAAGUGUCCCUAGUCCGGGAGUAUGGAUUGGGCACAGUUAUUGAUCCGGGAGUAUGGAUCAGAUCAGGGUUAGGGUAUAGUUAAUUGUACUUAUUCCGGGAGUAUGGAUUGGGUACAAUUAUUGAUCUGGGAGUAUGGAUCUGAUCAGGAGGUUAGUUUUAGAUCUGUGAGUAUGGAUCAAGUAGUUUUAGAUCCGUGAGUAUGGAUCGGUGAAGAGGAUAGUUUUAGAUCCAUGAGUAGGGAUCAGGUAAAGAGGAAAAUUUUAGAUACGAGAGUUUAGAUCGUGUCAUUGUGAGGAUCGAUGGGGUGGGUUAAGAGUUGCCUUUAUAUCGUGAAAUUGUGCAAGUUUGAAUGUUCUAUAUUUAUAAAUAUAUGAUAUAACAUUGUGGGAUGAAAACCCUAUAUGCUCACCAGGCUCCCAAGCCUGACCCACUCAGUUUUCUUUGUAUCACAGGUAUUAAUACGAAGACAUAUUUCACAGAGAGAUUUAAAGGAGAUAUAAAUCAAUUGUGUAAUUAAAUGUAAGUUCUGUUUAUGCUUAUAUGUCUGUAUCGGAACAUGACAUCCCGAGGUUUUAUUAUUAAAUGAAAAAUACAUUCCCUUUAAGAAAUGUUUUGAUAAGUUAUUAUCAUGUCUUGUUUUGGGAACAAAUUCUGCAACCAUUAUCUUUAAAAAGAGUACUCUGAUUUUAAAAAACAAAUAAUAAACAAAAUCGAUCUUUUCUGGCCGUGAAAAUGGGGAUGUCACAUAUAAUGAUAUAUUUUGUAUGACUUCAUUCUUACUUUGAAUGUUUAAUAUUUGAAAGUUCAUAUAUGAAACCUUGGAUGUUUUGGUGUAAUAUAAAUAGUGUAAUACAAAGUCUAUUAGUUCAAUAUUGUUUAUUAAUAGCUCAUUCAAAACUACUUAUUUCUUAUUUUAUCCAAAAAAUAUUAUCGGAUAUAAGAAAAGUAAACUAUAUUAAUGUUAUACAAAAACUUAUAAUAUAUAUUGGAUAUUAUAAAAGUAAAAAUAAAGCUUAUAAGGUAUGGACUAUAUAUUAGAUUGUAUCAAAAUAUAAAUUGAUGGAUUUUUAUGUUUUUUGAUAAUUCGGUUAAUACACAAAACAUGACUAAAAACGUAAAUUUCAACAUAUUUCUAUUUUUUCCCAUAAUUAUUUUAACCACUUAAAUGUAUUCUUGCACAACGCACGAGGUUAUGCCUAGUAUAUUUAUAAAGCUAGCAUUUUUCUUUUCACCACAUUCAUUUGAAACUCACAUGCAUUUUUUUUUCACCAUAUUCAUUUGAAACUCCCAUGACUUUUCAAUUUCUUUCUAAUCAUAAUUAUAAUUUGGUUACUUAGGUUAAAUAAAUAUCAAACAUAAAGUGUAAUCAUAUAUAAACUUAAUUUCAAUAUUAAAAUAAUAUAUUCACUUCUACUUAUAAAAUUAUGUAUAUAUGUUUGUAUGUUUGUGUUGCUUCAAAAAAAUAAUUAAUUAAAAAUAAUUGAUAUGUCAUAUUAUCCAUAUUAUCCAUGUAAGUCUCUUUAAAAAUUCAAAUUGUCUAUCUUAUCACUUUAUAUUUUAGUAUAUGUUUACUAUUUUAAUUAUAAUAAUAAGUGUUUUUUUAAAAGUUUUCUUUCACUUAUUAAUAAUAAAUGGUCUUAAAAUUAACUGACAUUAGUUAUAAAUAAUAAAAACAAAUUAUAAAAAUCAUGGAUAUGUUAUAUUAUCCAUGCAUGACUCACUUUGAAAUGCAAUUUGUCAAUCCUAUCACUUUAUUAUUUAGUAUAUGCUUCAUAUUUGAGUCUUCUUUAACUUAUUAAUAACAAUAAGUGGUUUAAAAUUAAUAAAAAAAAUUUAAAUGAUAAUAACAUCAAAUUAUAAAUUACAUAACAUUAGCUACAAAUAAAUUGUAUUUAAAUGAACAUCAUUAAUGAAAUUAGAAAAUAAUUGCAUAAGUAAAAACACUAUGUUUAUGUUAUUAUUCUAUAAUGAAUGUUGUAUAUGUCUAUUGUUGAAGUAAUUCUAAUAUGAAUAUUAACAUUUGAUUAUUCAUUUAUUCAAUAGAAUGUUAUUAUUCUAUUAUAAAUUUAUGUAUGUGCAUUUUUGUAGAAAAUUCUAAUUUUUGUUUUACCCCGUGACUAUUCAUUUAUUCAUUGCUGAAUAAUAACAUAAAGUUGUGGAUACAAAAUUCAUUGCAGAAUAAUAACAUAAAAAUAAUGUUUUUACGUUCUCACAUUAUUUACUGUUUUUAUUUGAACUAUCCCCUAUAUAUAUAUAUAUAUAUAUGGUGGGUGAAUAGUCAUUAAGAUAAUCAUCUAUUGAUUAGGGAUAAUUUAAUGUAAACCUCCCGAAACCAUCACCAAGAUGACUACAUAAUUCAGAUGAUUCAAAAGGCUAUCAGGGAUUUAAACCAAACAACGGAUGAUUCAAAAGGCUAAUGUAAUCCAAACAACGGAUGAUUCAAAAGGCUAAGGCUAUCAGGGAUGUAAACCAAACAACAUCACAGUCAUGUACAAUAAAAGCAAUAACAAUGACUAGAAUUAAUUGGUGACACGAAACCAACAAUGAACUGUCGUUGCCAACGCCAAUAUGACCAGUCAAAGACAAAAAAAUUGGAAACCUACAAAGAUAUCGAACAACAUAAUUUGAAACCAAAUGUGUAUUAGCCUAGCGUUAUCAAUAUUUGACCGAUAACAUAUUAAACAGCAACAUAGUUUGAUACCGAUUGAGUAUUAGCCUAGUGGUAUCAACAUAAUUUCAAGUCUCAAGUUGGGAUGAAAUGUGUAGAUUUAAUAUUAGAACAACGAGUGCAUGUGUAAACCGUUAAAAUAAUUAAUUUUCAUUAUGAUCCCUAUUUAUGUCAAUUAAUUAUUUUAACGUUAUGUAUUUUACUGACACUUAUUUUCAUUCCUUUUUGGUCCUUACGUCCAUGAGUCCAUUGUUAGUUUUUUACAUCGACUUUAGACAUCGAAUAUUACCGAAUGUCAAAUAUACCCUUAAGUUUCAUAUAUAAUUUUUGAGACUAACAGAGUGUUAAUGCUCUGUUUUAUCAUUCGAUGUGAUAAAUAGUUUUAUUAUUUAAUAGUUAGCUUUUAUUAUUAUUUUAGUUAUUUCUAUAUUGACAUAUUUCCACGAUAGGCUUCAAUUUUGCCAUUGAUGCUGCAAUGCAUUUUAGACCUCAAGACUAUCUUGUAUACCAAAUCUCCACGGUAUUUUAUAUGACAUUAUGUAACNNNNNNNNNNNNAUAAGUUCAACAAGAUAAAAUAAAACAGGUUGACAAUGUUUGAUUGGACAAGGAUUGGGACCUAUGUCAUUGUGACAAAAAUAGUCCUGGAAAACUUGUCCAUUCUUGUGUAACAAAUGCAGCCUAAUUGACUUAUAUUUACAUGAAUCUUGAUUUUGUUGUUGGAACACAAUACAGUAGGGUUUGGAUGUGGUGCAUGGGUGUUAGGGUGCAAAGUCACUCUUGGAUGUAGUGUUUUAGGCUUACCCUCUUGUAUGUGUAAAUAGGUUGAGUCUUUCCUAUAAAUAGGAAGUGAGUGACUCUUAUUAUGAAAUGAACAAUUUGGAGUGUUAGACUAGAGAGAGAAACUUUGCACAAAUCCAUUUGUAUAUUCUUUCUAGAUCUAAUAUGAGCUUACACAUAUUUAAUUACUCCUUGUGUUCUUGAAUUUACAUGAUGAUUCACUAGAUCUUUCUAAUUCUGCACAUGUCAUCAUAAUCUACACCACUACAUUUCGUAUCAGAGCGGGUGUUCUUGAUUGGAUCAAGAAUUGAUCCUUGAUGGCUAUCUUGAUUUGGUGAUUCUUCAUGUUCUUAUUGAUCUUCGUGUUUUGAGAGUGUUCUGUGUUCUAGAAAUCGAUUUUUUCCUUGAUUUGAUCCAUAAUUCGAUUUUCUCUCUCUAGAAUACUUGUUUGUAUCACUUUUUCUCUCUAGAAAACUCAUUCAAAAUCACUUUCUCUCUCUAGAAAUUUUCAAGUUCUUGUGAUCAUGGUGAAUUUGCAUUAUGAUUCUUGGGUUGUGAUCGUUGAAGAUGUCAAAUACAAAGUCAAUGAAGAUCAGUUUUAUGGGUUAUUGUUAAACCGGUUGAUUUCAUGGGAUACUAUGGUUUCUUAUGGAGGCUUGAAAGAUGAUCAUGGAAUGUUAAUUUUUCAACGACUUGGGGAGAUUGAAUUUUUAAUCACAAUCGCAUUGUACAUGUUAAAUCGUAAUGGAAAUCAGAAGGAAGGAAAAGAAAGAGAUUUGUUUAAUAAGAAAUACAUUUCUCUUAUUGAAGACCCAAAUGAUCUUCUUGCUCUUAAGGUUUUUGAAGUUCAAAACAAUGGAGUUCAAUGUGAUGUUCUUGAGGUUCAAGAAAAAGGAGUUCAAGUUGAUUUUCAAGAUGAAAUUUUUUUUUGAAACAUCCUUUCACGACUCUAUUCCCAUCUCAAUCCCCUGAAGAUCCUCAACCAAUAACUUCUCAAGCUCAUUCCGAUGAUGAAACCUAAGGAGGUGGUUUUGGAGGUACAUUUGAAGAACUUCAUUUCGAUUCAGAGGAGGAGAUACCUGACCACAUGCUUAUGUCGGGUAAACAAUUCAAAAUCCUUAAUCGCAAGUUAAAUACCAUCCUUCAGUCACAAGCUGACUCUGGUGCAAAGCAUUCGCUUUCUGGUAUGGAGGUUGAUGCGAUGAUAAAAGCACCAGAAAUAAGACAGAAGACUGCUUGAGAAGAUAGAUGGUAAUGAUCAAAAUAAUGAGUUUUGGCUUAAAGCUCAAGGGAAAAACUUUGAUGGUGCCUUACAAGAACUGAAAAAUGUCAGAAAAGAACGUCAUGUUCUUUUUGUCCAAGAUGUCAAGAAAGUAAGGGAGGACGUGAACUUGAAAGUCGAAGAGUUAAAGCAAGAGAUUGCAAAAGAGCUUCAACAAAUUACUUCGCAAAAUUCGAUAGUGCAACAACGUGUUGAUAUCGUGGCUGACGCACUCACAAAAAUUGUUAAAGACUAUCAAUCAACUGCGCCAACUAUCGAAGCCAAGAGCAAAGAUGACAAGGAGCAGUUCGCUAAGCUCAUUGAGUUAUUAGCUGAACUAAAGGGCAUUGUGUCAAAGCCUACUCCUCAGACAAUUUUGACUCCUGAAUUCCUAACGCUAAAAGUGAAUUCGUUGGAGCAGGCAAUUCAGAAGGCUUUGGCUCCUAUAACAAAUUUUACUUUGCUUUUGCCGAAGAAUGCCCCACCUGCUUUCACAGGGGUGCAAGGGGGAGAAGUAAAAGGAAGUAAAGGGGAGGAUGGAAAAGUUGUUGGGAAAUUGCAUUCGACUCAACUAAAAACGACAUUACCUUUGAAGACCAGCCCAAUUCCUUCAACAAUAGUAACAUCAAAACCAAUUACAAAAUUAAUUCCUAAAGGAAUUAAAAUUGGUUCAGCAGAUAAAGGAAGUUCAAGUGCGAAGCCUGAUACUUCAAAUAUUGUGAAGGGAAAAGGUAUUGCUCAUGAAAAGUCGAAGGAAGAGAAGAAAGCUAAAAUUGAUGCUGAAAUAGAGAAACAGAGGCAUAUUCAAAGCAUUCUGAGGCUAAGAGAAAAUGAUCCACCAACAAUGAACAAAGGAAAUCCUGCAAAGUGAUACUCAUUUGAAACAAUUGAAUCCAGAGUAUUGGGGAACCACAUGUAUGCAUUUGAGAAAAACCAAGGAGAAGCUAUGCCACUUCGAACUCAGACAUAUGUCAACUAGACUUCCCAAUUAAUGAAAUGAUGUUUAUCACUUCACAGUACAAGGUCAGUGAAAGAUUCAAACAUCCUGAGGAGUACACUUACUUGAAAAUUAGAUUUCAUGCUGUACUUGGGAAAAAUCAAGAUGAAGUUUGGUCCCUGGUAAAGAUAAAAAGAGUGAUGGCAAUCAAGAAAGAUGUAAUGUUCGAAAAUCUGCUUCAGAACUUUUGUUACUUUGUGGUUCGAGCAGACAAUAAACCAUUUGAUUUUACAAUUGCUGACUUUCCUUUGAUGAAUCUCAAUGAUCUCAUUCAAGUGGCCCUAAUUUUGAAGGAUAUGGAAGAAACCCAUCUGAAGGAAACUGAUUUAGAUGUGUUUAGACUUGGUUUAGGGCAUCUCAAGAUAUUCAUAGAAAAUUACUAUGAUUGCUUGGCCUUAACUGAUGAAGAGCUUGCUUCAGGUCUUGGAAGAAAGGGUAAUGUUUCUAUGGACCCUACGAAGCCUCAACAGGAGUUGAUGAAAUAUGCUGAUGGUGAAAUUUGUCUCAAACCAUUUAGCAUGGUAUUCGCAGGGAAAGACACAAAGGGAAAGGCACGAAGAUUCUUGUUUCAAGUUGUUGAGAUCGAAAGAUACACAACUUUGCAAUAUACGAACUUUUUUGUUCGUAUGAAUAACUGCAACAAGAGCAAUGAUGAAGACAAGAAGGAACUGAAGAAAAUAAUCACUUGGUACUCAUAAAUUCGAAGGACAACGCACUCUAUUGCUCAAGUUCUCACUAAUUGAGUGACUUCGACUGUUUACAAAAGGGGAGAAUGUUGAGUCAUUUAGUUGUAAAAGUCGAAGCAUUGUUUGUUCUAUUUCGCAUGUAUUUAUUUACUAAGUCUUUUUAUGUCGAAGCUUAAUGUCUAGACUUAGUAUUUUUUGUACACUCAUGUUUCCUAUAAAUAGGGGUUGAGGAUAGAAGUAGACACACGAGUCUUUCUGCUUAUUUUGUAAUCAGUAUUGUAUUAUAAUUCUUUGUUUAAUACAAACUUGCUGAUUAAUAUUUACAUUUGGUGUUCAUAUCAUUGAUUACUCAUUCAUCUAGAUCAUGAUUGCUUUCUAAAUCUCGAUUACAAUUCUCAUCAAUGGGAAUUUAGAUUAGUUGGGAGAAUGGAGUUAAUAUUUUAGGAGUUAUGAAUUAUAAUCAUGGAACAUGAAAGCCCUAUAAAUUGACAUUUUUUUCCGCUUUUCUUGAUUUUUAUUUUAUUCGAUGAUUUAGACCGUGUUCUUAAAGACAAGACUAUCAUUUAUGAUAUGAGCAGUCAACAAAUUGAACGGGCAGAUGGUAAUUGUAAGUUUNUGAACAAUUAGUUGGUGUUUACUUCAUUUCUGCUAUCUCAAGACAUUCAAAAUUUGAAAAUCUACAAACAAUGAACAUAAUUUAAUAUUUUAUUUUAUUUUAUAUUAACUAAAAAUUAUUCAUUUUUGUAUAUAAAGUUAGAGCUACCAUCUGCCCAUCCGAUCUAUUGAACAACCAGAUCAUAAACAAUAGUCUUGACUUUAAGAACAAGGUCUAAAUCACAGAAUAAAAAAUAAAAAUCAAAAAAUGCGAAAAAGAAAAUGUUAAUUUAAAGGGUUUUCAUAUUCCAUGAUUAUAAUUCAUACCUCCUAAAAUAGUAACUCUUUCCCAACUAAUCUGAAUUCCCAUGCACCGCACCCCAAGCCCACUAUAUUGUGUUAAAUAUAAGUCAAUUAGGAAUUGAAACUUUUCUAAAGGAAAAUGCCCUAUGGGACAUUGGAGAAAAGAAGAACCAUUCAUUCCUUUAUAAUACUUUUUGCUACUUGUUUACUAAUUAGAUCAAAACUUUGGGCUAAAUGGGAAUGGGUUGGAUUCAGUAGGGCUGGUAAUAUGUACCAUGGAAAACCAACCAAGACGUUACCAACCAUACCAAAUAUGUUUGUAACCAAUAUGUUUGAUGGGUAGUACCAAUACCAAUUGAGUAAUCAUGGUACAAUAUUGGUACAAUGUUUUCAAUACAAAUGUAAUAUCAUACCAACCAAUUCCAUUAUAUAUAUAUAUAUAUAUAUAUAUAUAUAUAUAUAUNNNNNNNNNNNNNNNNNNNNNNNNNNNNNNNNNNNNNNNNNNNNNNNNNNNNNNNNNNNNNNNNNNNNNNNNNNNNNNNNNNNNNNNNNNNNNNNNNNNNNNNNNNNNNNNNNNNNNNNNNNNNNNNNNNNNNNNNNNNNNNNNNNNNNNNNNNNNNNNNNNNNNNNNNNNNNNNNNNNNNNNNNNNNNNNNNNNNNNNNNNNNNNNNNNNNNNNNNNNNNNNNNNNNNNNNNNNNNNNNNNNNNNNNNNNNNNNNNNNNNNNNNNNNNNNNNNNNNNNNNNNNNNNNNNNNNNNNNNNNNNNNNNNNNNNNNNNNNNNNNNNNNNNNNNNNNNNNNNNNNNNNNNNNNNNNNNNNNNNNNNNNNNNNNNNNNNNNNNNNNNNNNNNNNNNNNNNNNNNNNNNNNNNNNNNNNNNNNNNNNNNNNNNNNNNNNNNNNNNNNNNNNNNNNNNNNNNNNNNNNNNNNNNNNNNNNNNNNNNNNNNNNNNNNNNNNNNNNNNNNNNNNNNNNNNNNNNNNNNNNNNNNNNNNNNNNNNNNNNNNNNNNNNNNNNNNNNNNNNNNNNNNNNNNNNNNNNNNNNNNNNNAUAUAGCCAUGGGCCUAUGACUCUUGGGGUAUCAUUGCUAAUUAAUAUUAUUUAUGUAUUAAUUCCGAAUUUUAUUUAAUUAUUAAAUAUGUUAAUUGUUAAGUAAUUGUUAGAUAGUUAAUUAGCAGUUAAGUUUGGUUUUGAACGGGUGUGUUGGUUGGGAUUGAUUAACUGCCAGUAUGAAACCUAUAAAUACAUCACCAAAUAUCACAUUUAAGGAUUAGACAAACACUCACGUAUUCUUCCUAUAUUUUCGGAUUCUACAUUAAUGAAGGGAACUAACUGAAUUUCAUCAAAAUCAAGAUCGUAUAUUGAUUAGAUUGUUGUAUCCUCUAGAUGGAUCCCUGUUAGAAAAAUUCCUGUUUUAGGACACUGCAACUUCACAUGCUUCACUCUCUACACAAAUUCGAGUUUGUAAUAUGUUGUAAUCUACACUCAAGUACGUUUUUCUUAUGAAUUAAUUCUUGUAUAUUACAUCUAAUUCAAUUUCGUUUUGUAUUACAUCUAUUGUUUUUGUCUAUUGUACUUCUAGCAUAACAUUAGGCUAUAUUUAUUACACGAGAAUGGACAAGUUUUCUUAGCUUUUUAUGUCAAUGGCAUAGGUCCCGAUCCUCGUCAAAUCAUACAUAUAGUCGACCUAUUAUAUUUUAACUUGUCUAACUUACAAAAUGGGGACUUAACAUAAUAUCAUAUAACAUACCGUUGAGAUUUGGUAUACAAGAUAGUAUUUAGUAUUGAGAUCUAAAAUUUAUUGAAGCACCACCGGCAAAGUUGAAACGUACCGUGGGAAAUAUACCAAUAUAGAAAUAACGAAAAAAUAUAAUGAUUAAAUACUAAAAAUAUUUAUUUUAUCGAAUAAUAAAAAAGAGCAUUAACACUCUGUUAGUGUCAAAAAUGAUACUAACAAAAAUGAUAUAUGAAAGUUAAAAGUAGAUAUAACAUUUUGUAGUAUUUUAAGUCUAAAGUUGUUGUAAAGAAUUGGCGAUGGACUCAUGGACAUUAAACUAGUAAGGACCAAAAACAAAGGAAGAUACAUGUCAAUAAAAUACAUAACGUUAAAUAAUUAAUUGACAUAAAUAGAGAUUAAAAUGAAAAUGAAUUAUUUUGACGGUUUACACAUGCACUUGCUGUUCUACUCUUAUAUCUACACAUAUCAUCCCAACUCGAGGCUUGAACCCUCACUUUUUUUACCGAUACCGAUAGACACCUAUCAGUCAAAUCUUGAUACCGGUAGCCUAAUACUAAUUUGGUUUAAAAUGAUAUUUAACUAAUAUAAUUGGUAGAUGUCGGGGGAGCUAAAAGGAGCACUCCACAUAAUGCUAGGGAAAUCAAAUAUUUAGAAAAAUGAGUUUUACAUUUCAACAUUAUGUUCACACACACACGCACAUAUGUUAAGGAUAAGUAUAUGUGGCGAAGCACGACAAAUAUAUCUAUAUAUGUGGUGAAGCACGACAAGUAUAUAUUGGUUUAAACUAAUUGGAAGUACAACUCAUUUGGAUCUACUAAUGGCGACAAUAAGCUUUACCGGCGACAUUUUGAUCAAUAACGAGGGACAGUAGCAGCGACUUGUCUCCAUUAUUACUUUUAUUGGUGACUAAGCAAACUCUUUGCGGUGCUUUUUUGUCGCCGCUAAUAAUCGUUUUUUCUUGUAGUGGAUAAAGUCCUAAAAUCAACAAAACUAUCCUAAAAAUUACAUACAUUUUAAAUUAAUAAAACUAUCUCAAAAUUAAUAUAUAGAUUUUUAACAAGGGAUAUGGGAAAAGUGUAACAACAAAUAACGACAAAGCUUUAUUUGCACUAAAGCUAUGAUGAAAUAAAACAAGUGAAGAUAAUGAUGUGUGUAAGGGUUUUUACAAAAAUAAAGGAAAUAAACAUAAGGGUAUUUAGAUAAGGGUGUUGGGUAUGGGCAACGCCCUAUGGGCGUCAGGGGCGGAUCCAAGGGGUAUCCCGGGGUAGCCUGGGAUACCCCUCAAAAAAAUUUCGGUAGUGUAAAUUUUUAGAAAAAUAAAUUGUUUUAUUUAGUGUAUAUAUACCCAUCCAUUCACUUAUAAGCACAAACAAAUAGUUAGUCUACUGGUUAAGGUGUUGGCUUGAUGAAAUAAAAGUCUCAGAUCAAUUCUUGUUCCUUACAAAUCAUUUGUUUACAUUUCUUUUAUUUUUCCAGCUAUUUUAUUCUUUUAUUUUCCUAACUAUUAUAUCCCACAUUGCCAAACACAUGUAAACUUAGUUAUUUUCAUCUAUUAUAUAAGUUUGUUAUCCUAAUGCUUUAUUUGAUAUCUACUUUAAGUCCACAUGGAUUGAAGUAUCAAAAGAUACUUCAAUUUCAUGUUUAUAUAACAGUACUUGAAGUUAGCUAAUGAUUCGAUUAAGGUUUGGGUUUAAAACCAAAACCAAACCAGGAAACCCAAGUACAAAUUGAAAACUGAAAAACCAAACCAAUGGUAUUGGGUUCGGUUUGGUUUAAAAUUUUCAAAACUGAGGCUAUUGGUUUUGGGUUCGGUUUUAGGAAAAACUAACCCAACCCGCCCAAUGCUCAGCCGAUGCGGUGAUACCCAGAAAAAAAAAUGGGAUACCCCUUUACUUUGAGUCUGGCUCCGCCACUGAUGGGUGUUAUAACACACAAAAACAGCCCUCUUUACCUUUUUUGGGUGUUAUACAUCCGCUGUUGCUUCCCGUUGCCACCAUCACCUUCGUUUAACUCUGUUUCUUUGUUUUUACCAAAAAACGCCGAUGUGGGCGUUGACCACAUCGACCAGCUUAAGGAAUUAAGGAAAGGAUUUUGGAGAAUUGAUUCUACAAGCUUACAAAAAUAUUUGGUCAAGAAAAGGAACGGUCUUCAAGGUAUGGUUUAAUGGAUAUUGAUUUCAAUAAAUAGAGAGUGAUAUACGAACCAACAAUAACUCAAAAGAAGACAAAUUGUUUAAAAAGGGGAAGAGAAGGUUGAUCACGUAGGUACUUACAAAAGUGAAGGAAAGAAACAUCAUGAUAUCAAAUGAUGGUACAUGAAUCAAAUUUCUAUUCUAAAAGGGAUGUAUGAGUUCUAAGAAGGAUUAAAGUUGAUGCAUGAAAAAAGUUUUAUUUUAUUUUAUUUUAUCUUUAUCCAGUUUUCAAGAAGGGUUAUAGGGUGUCAAUGGAAUGGUCACAUGUGGCUACUUUCGUUCUUUCGUUAAUGUUAAACAGGUGGAUAAGGAUGAUGGGUUGAAAUUAAACACUAAAAGAAGGAAGAGAAGAUAUUUGUGAAAAAGAAAAAUAUAGAAUCAAAGAAGAUAAACAAAAGAACAAAUGGAACGGUGUAUAUGAUAGGUUUUUCACCUUGUGUUGCAAAGGAGUACACAUGAAGAAAUCACAAAACAAACGUACAAUCAUUAAAGUAUUAAACAUCCAAGAUUUGAGGACAAAGGAAGAAGUAACUCAAGCCUAGAUUAAGGGGUAUGUUGAAAUGUAAUCUACAUUUUGGAUUAAUAUAUGGUAAUUUCAUAGCCGUGUUAUCGAAGUUAACUUCUGUGUAAAGAAAGCUUCAUGCACACACUAUACUUGUAAGUUCUUAUUUUGAGGAUCAACUCCAACAAACUUCACAAGUGUUUCAAUUUUCAAAAUUUAUCCUUUAUCAAAUGCCAAUAAGAGUAAAAGCUAGAGAGAAAGAGAGAAGGUUGCAAGCUGAGAUAGAAGAUUAGGAAACUAGGAGAUGCCAUUGAUUCUCUUCUAAUUUGUUUUGGAUAUGGUGUCCAGUUCUUGAUGAUAGUGAAUAUAUAGAGGAAGAGACUUUAUAUAAAGUAUAAAGGAUGACCAUGAAGUUUCGUGUAGACCUGGCAAUUUGCUACAUGACACGAUUAACACGAUACGAGUUUUUCGUGUAUGUGUUUUAGAAAUUCGUGUUUCGUGUUUAUUUGUGUCUGACACAUUUUAAAUUCAUGUUUCGUGUCUUACACGUGUCAAACACAAAUUUACAUGUUUAGACACGUAUAAGACACGAUACAAAAUCAUGUUGACAUGUGAUACGUACAAACACACACACACACACACACACAUAUAUAUAUAUAUAUUAGGGUUAAAUUUUAUAUUUACAAUAUAUUAGGGAACAAUUUCAUAAAACACAAUAAUUAGUUUAUAUCCCUAGCUUUAAAAAAAAGCCAUUAAAAACGUGACUAUUCGUGUCGUGUCACGUGUCACACGAAUUUUUUACAUGUCGUGUUCGUGUUUGAUACCCCAAACACGUUUUAUAAUUCGUGUCGUGUUUGUGUUUAACAAAUUCAUAUCGUGUAAAUUCGUGUGUGACACGAAUACACGACACGCAGACACGGAUUGCCAGGUCUAGUUUCGUGGAACCUUCCUUAUAACUUCCUUCGUCACUUCAACAAUGUGAAUGUGUUUAAUGGAAAAGUAACAAAAAAUAUAUUUAUUACAAGAAAUUAAGUGAACUGUUAUUUCUUUUUGAUGCAAUAACAUCAUUUAUUUUUAUAAACAACAAAUAGACAAAAAAAUGUUCACCUUUCCUUGCUUUUAUGUAACAUACAUUCAAAAUCAUGGAAACGAUAAUAAUUAUUUAUUAUUAUUAUUAUUUAUGUUGAAAUUUGGAGAUUGAUUAUAUAAAACUACUUAUCAAAUUAUUCAAAAAUAAAUUUUUUAUUUUUCUAUUAUAGUGAAUUUUUGGACAACAUAUUUCAUGUACAACAAUAUAUCAUGAUCAUAUGUCCAUAUGUUAACACUAAUUGUGGGAUAUCAAAAGAAUAAUAAUAAGUUUAAGAUGAUGAUUAGGCUGCAACAAUCGAAAGAAUGCAACUUAAGAAGAUGAAAACUCUGAAGAUUAAAACCAAUCGAGAUUUAGUAAUUAAAAAGUAAGGUGUUUUCUUUUUAGGAACAAAGUCAAUCAUGUGGUCUUUGGUAAAAAAAUAAAAUGAGUUUCUCUACAACAAAAGAUAAAAAGGAGUACAAGGCUUUAUUAAAAGAAGGGUAGUAUGGUCUUUUGACAAAAAAACAUGGAUGGGAAUUGUUUCUAACCUUAUUAAAUGAGGAAAUCGUACAAGAAUAUAAUAAUGAAAAGAUCACUAUUUAGCAUGUGCCAUGGUGUACUAUUUGAUUUAUGCAAAGAUGAUGAUAACGUUUUAUCUUGAAAACAAAAGCUUAAAGUGGUAUUUCCAAAUACGAAAAGCUUUUUAUCUCUCUGUUAAAUUAUUAUGAAAACCUUUGUAUAUUGUAUUAUUUACUAGAUAUUUGAUAUAUAAUCUAUAGAAUACAAAUAAAACCUAAUCGUUAGUGAUCAAUUAGUAAUUAUUCCUCUCUUCGAUUAUUGUAAAAAAUGUGUACAUCAAAAUUUAUAAUAUCGUUAGUGAUCAAUUAGUAAUUAGUAGACAUACAUACAACAAAAAGUAAAUAUAAUCGAUAUAAGAGCAAUUAGGAGAAAAGUUUUUACUUGAUUUUUUCCAAAAGAGUCAACAAGAAAUGCAAAUUUAAAGAUCUACUACUAAUAUAUAAAAUCAUGACUAAAUUAUAAUACUCUUUUCCUAAGGAUUACUCUGUAUUUAUGAAGUUACUUCAGUUUAUUAAAAAGAAAAUUUUAAAUAAAUUUACGAAGAGAGAUAUAAAUUCAAUAGAAUCCUUAAAUGAAAACCAUAAAAGGGGCUCAAUUGAAGACAUAAAUACGAACAGGAUAUAAAAAUAAACAUUUUAAGAAAGAGGAAAAGAGCUCUUGAAAUGAGGAAGUAAGAUCACGCACCUAAUUGUUGAUUAACAAGGAUAUAAGUUGAUAAUGGUGGAAUUAGCUUUGAAAGAAAGGUUGUGGACUUGUGGGGUUCAUUCAGGAAUUUCGUCGAACAGGUCAUGGACAGAUAAAUUAACAAAAAAAAAAAUACACGUUCAACCAUGAUCAUCGAACAGCCUAACCAUGAGUUGACGCAAGAAAGAAACUUGAUUAGAAAUACAAACAAGGCCGGUCGAUUUCCGGCCAAAUAUUAAUCGAUCUUACUUGUGAGUGGUGACCGGAGAGCGGAGACCCGGAUCUCCUUUUUUUCCCCAUGUGUUCUUCCUGCAACCAUGUCCACCACCCGUUUGAUCAAUUGCAAUCUGGACACAGUUAUCGAUAACACUGAUUUUUCAUAUAAAUGCUUCCACAGAGGCUGCUGAUGAGGACGUUUGGUGCAUCGGUGGCGAAGUUAAGUUGGUGGGCUUUCAGAAGAGAGAUUGUUCGCCGGCAAAGGAAGUGUAGAUGAAGAGGGAGAAAGGAAAGCAGAUGAAGAUGAAGUGCAGUGUAUCUCAGAUGAGUGGGGAUUAAAUUCCCCUUUGUAGAACCAAACACGUGAAUAGAUUCUACUUUUUAGCGUUUCUUUUUAUGUUGGAAAUGUUUUUUAAA
rnacentral:lncRNA from 1 species